rnacentral:tRNA from 1 species
GCUUUUAGCUCAGUGGUUAGAGCGUUCGACUCCCAGUUGAGGUGUGCGGGUUCGAAGGCCGUGAGCG